rnacentral:rRNA from 1 species
CCCCGGGCUCAACCUGGGAACUGCGUUNUGAACUGGGUGACUAGAGUGUGUCAGAGGGAGGUAGAAUUCCACGUGUAGCAGUGAAAUGCGUAGAGAUGUGGAGGAAUACCGAUGGCGAAGGCAGCCUCCUGGGAUAACACUGACGUACAUGCCCGAAAGCGUGGGUAGCAAACAGGAUUAGAUACCCUGGUAGCCCACGCCCUAAACGAUGUCGAUUAGCUGUUGGGCAGCUUGACUGCUUAGUAGCGAAGCUAACGCGUGAAAUCGACCGCCUGGGGAGUACGGUCGCAAGAUUAAAACUCAAAGGAGUUGACGGGGACUCGCACAAGCGGUGGAUGAUGUGGAUUAAUUCGAUGCAACGCGAAGAACCUUACCUGGUCUUGACAUGUACGGAACCCUCCAGAGACGGAGGGGUGCCUUCGGGAGCCGUAACACAGGUGCUGCACGGCUGUCGUCAGCUCGUGUCGUGAGAUGUUGGGUUAAGCCCCGCAACGAGCGCAACCCUUGUCAUUAGUUGCCAUCAUUAAGUUGGGCACUCUAAUGAGACUGCCGGUGACAAGCCGGAGGAAGGUGGGGAUGACGUCAAGUCCUCAUGGCCCUUAUGACCAGGGCUUUACACGUCAUACAAUGGCCGGUACAGAGGGUAGCCAAGCCGUGAGGUGGAGCCAAUCUCACAAAACCGAUCGUAGUCUGGAUUGCAC